rnacentral:hammerhead_ribozyme from 1 species
AUCCAGAUGACGAGUCCCAAAUAGGACCAAAUGCACAUCCUGGAU